UACAGAGGGGGCAAGCGCUGUUCGGAAUUACUGGGCGUAAAGGGCGCGUAGGCGGCCGCCUAAGUCAGACGUGAAAUCCCUCGGCUCAACCGGGGAACUGCGUCUGAUACUGGGUGGCUUGAAUCCGGGAGAGGGAUGCGGAAUUCCAGGUGUAGCGGUGAAAUGCGUAGAUAUCUGGAGGAACACCGGUGGCGAAGGCGGCAUCCUGGACCGGCAUUGACGCUGAGGCGCGAAAGCCAGGGGAGCAAACGGG
rnacentral:rRNA from 1 species